rnacentral:sRNA from 1 species
AUUGAUUCAUUAUUUAAAAUAAAGGCAACACACAUCAGCAAGUGCUGGAUGUGUUUUCUGAGCACCUUUUAUAUCAUUCCCUAUGUGAGCAUCUUCUCUCUGAGCCUUCUUUGCCAGCCUUGCUCCUGUGCAGCGCACACCUAAGCACCCCGCUUCCUCUCCUUCCCUUCACCUCAGCGACAUCAGAAAGCAAGACAAGACCCACACACUCUAGACCCCACCUCAGUCCCUACUGAAUGUGGGGCUUCUCCUCCUUAGCAUGUUUACACUCCAUGUGUUUAGGGUCAUUUUUCUCACAUUGUCUUGUGUUUCUCUCCUGCUUGGUCUCUGUUUCCUUUGUCUUUGAGCCUGGGAGGUUUCAUAAAGAGACAGGUCUCGGGAGGAGCUACAAAGAUGCUUGUAUUUCUCAGAGGAAAGCAGGCCACGGGGCUCGCUGUGAUAACGCAUCUAGACUGGCCGACUUUACUUUUUGUCUUUCUGGCAGUUUCUGCUCUUCGUUUCUUCGUUUCAUUUAUAUCAGUGUGAAGGAUGCAUAUAUCUCCAUCCUUGUUUCCACAGCCACGAAGAAAUAUGACAGGGUCCAAAACAAAGGUAAGAGAUUUAUGGACCCUGCGAGAUUCCCAAUUAAUAGAAACCAUUGGGACCAUGGCAGCCUUCUGCUUCUGGGGCCUCUAAAUGCAGCACUCCCGUCCCAUAAAGCAGAGUGGUUGACACUGGAAAUAAAACAUCUACCCUGGUGCUCAGGCAACGCUUUAUAUGCAUUCCAGAGCCAUGCUCUGUGUUUAAACCCCAGCUUUUUAGUAUAAUUUUAGCGUUGGAACUUAACGUUUUUACUGCCUCUUCUCCAAAUAAUCAAUAUUGAUUUUACUCGAUCUGUUAUCAUCCUGACAUCAAGAUUUAUUUCCCAGCUUCACUCUGCAUGAGACUGUACUUCACAGAAGGCACAUUUAUUCCCUUCCUUUGGGAAGGCUCCUGGGGUAAUUAUCUUGCUCCAUUGGCAAAUCAUUCAGCUUAUGUUGUAUUGAAAAAUAAUAAUUGGCUUUGUCCCUCAUCAGGUUUGAACAGCUUUAUUAUCAUUAUAUUUGCUGGUAUGUUGUGAUAACAUCUUUGCAGAGUUUGGAACUGUUCAGAGCCAAGAAGCCAAGGCUCACGGCAGCAGGUCUUCAUUCCCGAUGUCCUCAGAACUUCAUUGACUGGACAGUACAAAGCUCAUAGGGGGCCUGCAAAGCAUUUUCUACCAUGGCUUUUGCCUGUGUUGCAGAUACAGGAGCCUGCGAUAGAUCUAGAUUUAAGGUUGGCCAGGGCAGUCUGUGUGAUAUGAGCAAGGGAGUGGUUAUGAAGGGACGGCCCCAGUGGAACUCACCUUUCAUAUACUGUUGUCCUUUAUCUGUGUUUUGUUUUCUGCAGAUUCUAUCACCCACAGUCUAGUGCAAUCUAAACAUGUACAAUAGAAAAUUCUGAAAGGAUAUUGUUCUUACAUGAGAUAGUGACUAGCAUGAUUAACAGAAAAUUCUAAAAAGAAAUAAUCCUUACCUUUGAAACCUAAUAACAAGAUGAAACUACCUGCCAUCUUUCUCCUCCCACUCAGGAGUCUACCGCAGGGACAGCAGCAUACUACUAGGCCGAGGAGAAGACAUGAAACGAAAAAUGUUAAUAAAAGAGAGUUGUGGUGAACAGCAGAGUGAAAUUUUGGAGCUGAGAAAUAUCAGAAGGUGCCAAGCAGCUCCCAAAGGAGUAGCAAGAGGCAUGGGACAAGAAAGGCUGCCACUCAGAACUGCAGUCUCUGAACCCACCGAUGUCGAUUGGAAAGGUCGGUCCAGCUCUGGCAGUCGGAAUCUUCAAGAAGCUGAACUCCAAGUGCCAGGUUUGCCCAUGGACCUAAGUCUAGCCAAUGGAACCCAAAAAUCUAGGUCAUGACUGGCAGCUGGUUUCAGAACAGGUGUCCUUCACCGUUUUCAAUAAGCAACCAGGAAAAGAAAAACAACCACCAAUGAGAACUUUGCAACAAUCUCUGAGGUGCUGCCUGGCUUAAAGGGAAUAUGCGGAAAUUUGGAUCAAUUUUCUAAAUAAUUUAAGCCCCAAUCUCUGUUUCCCUUAGAAACACUCAAGUAAUGGAAGCCAAGAGGUGUUGAGGGUGAUCUACAUCAGUAGCUUCCUCUAGCUGCUACAUUGCUUUCUCCACCUACCUAGCCCAUGAUGGUGGCCAUGAUAGGUGUGCAUUUACAAAGGCAGUGAUUUAUCAAGUGCUUCCUCUGCGCCGGGCACUGCCCAAGGGGCUCUGCAUACAGAACAACUAAAUAGAGUUAUGCUUCUCUUAGGGACAAGGAUGCAUUUUGACAAAUGCAUCAUCAUGGGCCCAAAUCGGAAUGUGCUUUCACAGAACCAGACAGUUGGAGUCAGUCAUUCAACAUGGCCCAUUGAUGUGAUCAGAUGUAGUGGACACUGGACGUCUUAAUUACUUUCCUAUUGCCGUGAUUAAAUAACAUGACCAAGGCAACUUAUAAAAGACAGACAUUAGUUUGGGCUAAUGAUUCCAAAGGGAUAAAAGAGUUCAUCAUUUUCAAAUGGGAAGGCAUGGCAGCAAGCAACUGAGGCAGCCAAGAGCUCACACCUCAAACCUGAUGGCUUUUGAAAUCUCAAAACCAGUGACAUACUUCCUCUAGGAAGGCCAUGCCUCCUAAACCUAUUCAAACAGCACCACACAGCUGAAGACUAAGUGUUGAAAUAUCUGAGCCUACGAGGAGCAUUCUCAUUAAAAUGCUCCUAAACCAUCCUACUAACAUUCAAGGCCAAUGCAGGCUGUGCAGGAUAUGUUUUACAUUAAGUAUUACAUAUAAAGUAUGCAUGUUCAUGGGUGCCUGUGUGUGUGUGCACAUGUGAGUGUGUGUAUGUGUGUAACAUAUGCACAUAUAUGUGUGUAAAUGAGUGUAAUAUAUACAUAUAUUUAUGUGUAAAUGUAGUAUUCUCUAAAAUAAAGAUAAACCAUAAA